GGGGUUGUAGCUCAGUGGUAGAGCGUCUACCUAGCAUGCAUGAGGCACUGGGUUCAAUGCUCAGCACCACA
rnacentral:tRNA from 1 species